ensembl:lncRNA
CAGAUAAUAUCUUUGCCGUUUUGGAAACCUUAGAGUGAUUUCUUUCCAAAGCUGCCAAUUAUAUGCAUAGUCGAGCAUCUUUUCGUGACAAAAUAUUGCGCUUAAAACGGGCACGUUUUUUAAUCCAUAAAUUAAAAGAGCGCCCCCUAUAUCCAAGAAGUUAAUAAGAUCAUAUCGUUCUCAGAAGUCCCGUUAUAAUGCGCUGUUGUAUUCACAGCCUAUUGAUCUGUGGAGAUUCCCAAUAAAUGGGUUGCAUCUCAUUGUAGCCUGUCUUGAUAUCGUCUAUUUUAAUUACCACAUUUUCCAACUUAUUUACUCAUGUAAAUAACACCUUGAAUGAAGUGUUUGUGGUAUUGAAGUGGCAGACUGGGUUUGGGCCUUUCCAGAACCUAUUCAGAAAGAGGACACAGACUGAAUAUAGCGAUGAAUAAUGAUAAAGGGUUCCUCUAUAUCCAACCCUUAAUUAAUGGUGCCACUCUUAAUCUGGAUGAACAAAUUCAGCACAUCAAUCAGAUCAAUUCAUCAGUAAAUGAUUUUGAAUAUCAAUAUUAGGUCAUAACUCUGUGUGUGUGUGUGUGUGUGUGUGUGUGUGUGUGUGUGUGUGUGUGUGUGUGUGUGUGUGUGUGUGUGUGUGUUCCUGGCUCCUGUCAGCAGCAGACGGAAUCCUAGAGCUCCUUCAGACUCUCAGAGUCUUUCUGGGUGACCACUCAGGGCGAAAACACACACCCACAGCUGCUGCUAGGAAGGAGAGAGGAGAGGGAAGGAGAUGGGAUGAGAGUAGAGGAGAGAGAGUUGAGGAGAAGUAAGGAGAGGGGAGGGGAGAGAGCAGAGGAGAGGAGAGGGAAGGAAAUGGGAUGAGAGUAGAGGAGAAAGAGGUGAGGAGAAUUGAGCAGAGGGGAGAGAGCAGUGGAGAGAGCAGAGGAGAGGGGAGAGGGGAGAGGGGAGGGGAGAUAGCAGAGGAGAGGGGAGAGAGCAGAUGAGAGGGGAGAGAGCAGAGGAAAGGGGAGAGAGCAGAGGAGAGGGGAGAGAGCAGAGGAGAGAAGAGAGAGCAGAGGAAAGGCGAGAGAGCGGAGGAUAGGGGCGGAG